GACGAACGCUGGCGGCGUGCUUAACACAUGCAAGUCGAGCGGUAAGGCCCUUUCGGGGGUACACGAGCGGCGAACGGGUGAGUAACACGUGGGUGACCUGCCCUCAGCUCUGGGAUAAGCCUGGGAAACCGGGUCUAAUACCGGAUAUGACUCCAUGACGCAUGUUGUGGGGUGGAAAGCCUUGUGCGGCUGAGGAUGGGCCCGCGGCCUAUCAGCUUGUUGGCGGGGUGAUGGCCUACCAAGGCGACGACGGGUAGCCGGCCUGAGAGGGCGACCGGCCACACUGGGACUGAGACACGGCCCAGACUCCUACGGGAGGCAGCAGUGGGGAAUCUUGCGCAAUGGGCGAAAGCCUGACGCAGCGACGCCGCGUGAGGGAUGACGGCCUGGUGUAA
rnacentral:rRNA from 1 species